GACAGAGGGUGCAAACGUUGUUCGGAAUUACUGGGCGUAAAGCGUGUGUAGGCGGCCAUGCAAGUCGGAUGUGAAAUCCCUGGGCUCAACCCGGGAAGUGCACUUGAUACUGCAGAGCUUGAAUAUGGGAGAGGAUAGUGGAAUUCCUGGUGUAGUGGUGAAAUACGUAGAUAUCAGGAGGAAUACCGGUGGCGAAGGCGGCUAUCUGGCCAUAUAUUGACACUGAGAUACGAAAGCGUGGGGAUCAAACAGG
rnacentral:rRNA from 1 species